AGGACUAGGUGGGUACUUGUUCUA
rnacentral:siRNA from 1 species